rnacentral:tRNA from 1 species
GGGCCCAUAGCUCAGUUGGUUAGAGCAACGGACUCAUAAUCCGUGGGUCCUAGGUUCAAGUCCUAGUGGGCCCA